rnacentral:rRNA from 1 species
GCGCAGCAGGCGCGAAAACUCCACAAUGCGCGAAUGCGUGAUGGGGUUAGCCCGAGUGCCGUCCGCUGAGGAUGGCUUUUCCCCAGUGUAAGGAGCUGGGGGAAUAAAGGGGGGGCAAGACUGGUGUCAGCCGCCGUGGUAAUACCAGCCCCCUGAGUGGUAGGGACGAUUAUUUGGCCUAAAGCGUCCGUAGCCGGCUUGGUAAGUCUUUCGUCAAAUCCGGCGAUUCCAUCGCCGGCCCGCGGAAGAUACUGCUAGGCUUGAGGACGGGAGAGGUCGACGGUAGUCCCGGGGUAGGGGUGAAAUCCUAUAAUCCCGGGAGGACCACCAGUGGCGAAGGCGGUCGACUAGAACGUGCCUGACGGUGAUGGACGAAAGCUGGGGGAGCGAACCGGAUUAGACACCCGGGUAGUCC